GCCGCGUGUGUGAAGAAGGCCUGCGGGUUGUAAAGCACUUUCAGUAGAGAAGAAAAGCCUAGGGUUAAUAACCCUGAGUCUUGACGUUACCUACAGAAGAAGCACCGGCUAACUCCGUGCCAGCAGCCGCGGUAAUAAUCGAAUUCCCGCGGCC
rnacentral:rRNA from 1 species